GAAGGCUUGACCUCAAAUCAGGUAGGGCUACCCGCUGAACUUAA
rnacentral:rRNA from 2 species